UACGGAGGAUGCGAGCGUUAUCCGGAUUUAUUGGGUUUAAAGGGUGCGCAGGCGGAUUUUUAAGUCAGCGGUCAAAUCGUGGGGCUCAACCCCGGCCUGCCGUUGAAACUGGCGGCCUCGAGUGGGCGAGAAGUACGCGGAAUGCGCGGUGUAGCGGUGAAAUGCAUAGAUAUCGCGCAGAACUCCGAUUGCGAAGGCAGCAUGCCGGCUCCACACUGACGCUGAGGCACGAAAGCGUGGGUAUCGAACAGG
rnacentral:rRNA from 1 species